rnacentral:rRNA from 1 species
UACGUAGGGGGCUAGCGUUGUCCGGAAUCACUGGGCGUAAAGGGUUCGCAGGCGGAAAUGCAAGUCAGAUGUAAAAGGCAGUAGCUUAACUACUGUAAGCAUUUGAAACUGCAUAUCUUGAGAAGAGUAGAGGUAAGUGGAAUUUUUAGUGUAGCGGUGAAAUGCGUAGAUAUUAAAAAGAAUACCGGUGGCGAAGGCGACUUACUGGGCUCAUUCUGACGCUGAGGAACGAAAGCAUGGGUAGCAAACAGGAUUA